GACGUAGGGGGCGAGCGUUGUCCGGAUUUAUUGGGCGUAAAGCGCGCGUAGGCGGCCGCGUUAGUCGGAUGUGAAAACCCGGGGCUCAACCCCGGGCCGUCAUUCGAUACUGCGGAGCUAGAGUCCGGAAGAGGCGAGUGGAAUUCCUGGUGUAGCGGUGAAAUGCGCAGAUAUCAGGAGGAACACCUAUGGCGAAGGCAGCUCGCUGGGACGGCACUGACGCUGAGACGCGAAAGCGUGGGGAGCAAACAGG
rnacentral:rRNA from 1 species